CGGACCGCAAGAUCAUGACCUGAGCCGAAGUCAGCCACUUAACCUACUGAGCCACCCAGAUUUGUUUAAGGCCAGUUAGAGUCCAACUCGGGUACAGAGCGCCUAAUCGUCCCGCCAGCUGUCAGUAAAGAAUUCCUGCACCAUGACUUCCAUGAACAUAGUUAAUCCGCACCAGUUACAUCCUGUUACUCAGGAGCUGACCACCCUCCUUCAGGCCACCACCACCUCCUGCCUAGGUGACGGGGCAGCCCCUGCUUGGUCUUUCUGCUUCCGCUCUUGACCCUCACAUGGUCUUUGCCUCAUGACACCCAGAGUUACUCUUUCCAAACACAUCAGAAAAGUCAUUUCCCUGCUCCCAACCGUGACUGGCUGGCUCACCACAGUAUCUAGAAAGGAGUCCACAGUCCUUAGCGUGACCUCCUUGGCCUCCAUGAGCUGGUCUGUCCUACCACUCUGACCUCAUGUACUGCUCUCCCCUCUUGACCCUACACUCUGGGGUCCCGGCCUCCAUGUUGUUUAUCCGAUGCACAGACUCAUUCUUUGUUUUUUUUUAUUAUUUAUUUAUUUUGUGAGAGAGAGAGAGCGGGGGAAGGGCAGAGAGAGAGGAGAGAGAGAAUCCCAAGCAGGCUCAGAUGUGUCGGCACAGAUCCAAAAGCGGGGCUCGAACCCAUGACACCAUGACCUGAGCCAAAAUCAAGAGUCCGAUGCUCAACUGACGAAGCCACCCAGGUGCCCCAGACUCAUUCGUAUUUCAAGGCUUGGAGUGCCCUUGCCCUGCCUGGGUUUUCUCUCGGGUCUCUCCUUCCCGCCAUCCUGGUUGCUGCUCAAAUGCACCUCCUUAAAGAGGCUUCCUCUGACCCUGCCAUCUAAGGGGGCCCUCCUCAUGUUGCUCUUGUCCCCUUGAGCCACUUUAUUGUUCUUCUUAGCCCUGAUUGUCACCAGACACUGCAUUAGAUCUCCGUUUAUUGUCUGCCCCUCGUUAGGCUUGACCAUAAGCUCUUGGAGAGCAGGGACUUAACUAUUUCGUUCCCUGCUUUAUCUCCAGGGCCUGGAGCAGUGCCUGGCACACAGUAAAUAGUCUGUAAAUCUUUGUGGAAUAAACAGAUGAAUGAAUCAGUGCAUGAGAAAGCCAGGGACUUUUGAUAACCUGAUGGGGCUGAGCUGGCCACAUUUAAUCUACUAAUUGGCAAUAACUCAGGAACAAUUUUGACAUAUUUUAUUACCAGUUUAGAAACCACUAGGUACUUGAUCAAACAUAUUCGUCGUUGGUUAUUCUUGUAUCUUAUGAAGUUAUUAAGUAGCCCCUUUUCCCAGCAUGCAGUUCAACAAGUUUGUAUUAUUAUUAAAAAAAUUUUUUUAAUGUU